AUGUCAAAAGCUUGUGUUAUGGGGGUGGGGUGGGGGUAGGGUGUUCAUCUAUGAGCUCACAAAGUUUUUGAUCACAUCCAUUAAAGUGUAGAAAUGCUCAUUAUUUGGCAAGAAAUAGAACCCAAUUGUAGCCUUUUUCAAGAACAAUAACUCCACUUGUUGCUCUGCAUUCUCCAACCCUUCAACAUAUGCCAAUUGCCAAUCUUGAACAAGAUCCAAUCCAGCCACAACCACCAAACUUUUUGGAAAUUUAACCCCUUUUAGAUCAACCCCUCUCGGCCCGAAUAUGUUACACGCCGGAUGAUCGCGAUCUUCCCCUUCCGGCAAAAAAGCCCUCCAAUACCAAUCCCUAUCUUGAACCCUAACAAAAUACUUCCCAUCGAGUUUGCUCUCCGAUUCUUUUCGCUCUUCGCCCCCAAACAACGGGUGCAACAAUAUGUUCCCUAGCACUUCCACACCCGACUCAGCGGCCCGAACCGCCACGUGGUGGGCUAUGUUGCCGCCGGAGCUAUCACCGGCUAAAUAAACAUGAACUUUAGGGUCUUUACCACUUAAAAGCCAUGUUCUUGAAUGAACCCAUUUGAGGGCUUCCCACCCAUCUUCAUAAGCACACGGAUACCGAUGCUCCGGUGACCGGCGGUAGUUUACCGACACCACCACGCCUUUGAUCAGGGCGGUGAGACGGCGGCAAAACGUGUCGUAAAUCGCGCUAUUCGCUGACGAAUGAGUGAAGCUUCCACCAUGGAAAAAGAUUAUCACCGGCACAACUUCAGUUGUGCUUAAAGGGUUUUCGAGUUCCAAGAUUCCGGCACCUGGUUGCCGGCCGGAAUCUGAUUCCGGUGGGGCACACCGGUAGAUUCGGUUGAGGAGACUGGUGGCCCGGUCAACGACAUCGAAUGAGUACACGCCGUCCACCGGAACGGUGUUGGCGGCCACUUUCCGGUCAAGAAACUCGGCGAGUUCACGGUUGAAGGUGCCGUCCGGUCGCCGGAGCAUAUUGUAAGCUAACUUGAAGUUGGAAAUCAAGAUCCAUGUGUGCAGGGGAACUACUUUCUGUAAAAUAAAAAAAAAUAAAAAUAAAAAAAUAAAAAAAAAUAGAAUCAACAUAUAUUUCUGAAAACUAACAUCUGGCAACUACAGAUUGCUCACUCAAACACCAAUGGAUAACAACAAAAACUUCUGGUGACCAGAAAUAAAUACAAGAAACCCAUUAAAAUCUUUGAGAAAAUAUUAACAAAAAAAUAAAAAUUAAAGAUUUUAGCCACAUAAAAUGAAAAAGAACCCCCAAACAGAAAAUGAAGAAACUUUAUCAGAUUAAGUUAUCAAAAACUUAAAAAAAAAAAGGUGGAAACUUUUAAUGGCUAAAUCAAAGAAAAAAAAACCCCAAACAGAAAAUCAAGAAAACUUAUCAGAUUAUGUAAACCAAAAACUAAAAAUAAUAAAAAAAGGUUGAAACUUUUAAUGUCUAAAUCAAAGAAAUAGAACCCAUAAACAGAAAAUCAAGAAAAAUUAUCAAAUUAAUUGAUCAAAAACUAAUAAAAAAAAGGUUGAAACUUUUAGAACCUAAAUCAAAGAAAACAAAAACCCAGAAAAAAAAACUAAAAGAAAUUAACAAUUUUUAGUUAAAACUAUGAAACCCCAUCAAGAAUAAAGAAAAUGAGAAAUAUGAUUGUUGAAAAGAAACAAAAGUUAAUAAAAAACGUGUAAAAAAUAAAAACCAUCAGGAACAAAACCCCCAAAAGUUUACCCCAAAAUCAACCAAGAAGAAAGUAGAAUUACCAAAAUAAUCGAACAAAAGGCAUAAAAAAAUAAGGAAAAUAUUAACCAUUUUGGGAACAACAUGAC
rnacentral:lncRNA from 1 species